GUCUACGGCCAUGCCACCCUGAACAAGCCCGAUCCCAUCUGAUCUUAGAAGCUAAGCAGGGUCAGGCCUGGUUAGUACUUGAAUGGGAGACCACCUAGGAAGACCAGGUGCUGUAGGCG
rnacentral:rRNA from 1 species